GAUGAACGCUGGCGGCGUGCCUAAUACAUGCAAGUCGAGCGAACAGAUGAGGAGCUUGCUCCUCUGACGUUAGCGGCGGACGGGUGAGUAACACGUGGAUAACCUACCUAUAAGACUGGGAUAACUUCGGGAAACCGGAGCUAAUACCGGAUAAUAUAUUGAACCGCAUGGUUCAAUAGUGAAAGACGGUUUUGCUGUCACUUAUAGAUGGAUCCGCGCCGCAUUAGCUAGUUGGUAAGGUAACGGCUUACCAAGGCAACGAUGCGUAGCCGACCUGAGAGGGUGAUCGGCCACACGGGAACUGAGACACGGUCCAGACUACUACGGGAGGCAGCAGUAGGGAAUCUUCCGCAAUGGGCGAAAGCCUGACGGAGCAACGCCGCGUGAGUGAUGAAGGUCUUCGGAUCGUAAAACUCUGUUAUUAGGGAAGAACAAAUGUGUAAGUAACUAUGCACGUCUUGACGGUACCUAAUCAGAAAGCCACGGCUAACUACGUG
rnacentral:rRNA from 1 species